GAUGAAGAACGUAGCGAAAUGCGAUAAGUAAUGUGAAUUGCAGAAUUCAGUGAAUCAUCGAAUCUUUGAACGCACCUUGCACCCUUUGGCAUUCCGAAGGGUAUGCUCGUUUGAGUGUCAUUGUACUCUCACACUCUCCGAUCCUAUGGAUUCGGGGAGCGGUGGACUUGGGUGUUGCUGCCUUUCCCUGUGGCUCACCUCAAAUGCGUCAGUGCACCUCUUGGUUGGACAUAGUACGGCGUGAUAAGUGUCUUCGCCGGCACCUCGCAAGAGGGUGGCCGAUCGGGAGCUCUGUGCUUUCAAACCGUCUUCGGACAAUUUCUGACAACUUGACCUCAAAUCGAGUAGGACUACCCGCUGAACUUAAGCAUAUCAAUAAGCGGAGGA
rnacentral:misc_RNA from 1 species